CGUGACCCUGCCGUGAUGGGCGGGGCGGCAGGGGAGGAACCAGACUGCGAGCGGAGAAGCGGAGUUUGCAGCCUCGGAAUUGGCUAGAGCGCCAGAGCCGAGUCAGCCAUAAAGCUACGCGCUAGGCUCUUGGCCCUGACGUGAGGCGCGCAGAGAUGGCGUAACGGGAAUAGUUUUCAACGUCUAUUUCAUUCCCUGCUUCAGAGGACCUCUUUAAUCUUUGAUUUUGGUCCCUGUUUCUAAGAAAAGCAACUGAAAAGGUCGUAAUACCGCCCCUGAGAAAAAAGGAGCAGCGCUAAAUAAUCGAGAAAAUGCCUCCUCUUGAAACGGAUAUAGAGAUGGAAACAAGAUAUAAGAAGGAUUGAGAAUCAUAUAAUACAGGAGCUUAAACACCUAUGCGCGAUGAUAAAGAGGGUACUAUUAGAGCGCUUGGAAAAUACCAGGAAGUUGAGAGAGUUAACAGAAGGGCGCACGCUGGAUUGGCCACAAAAUCGAAUUACUGAAGUAAGUGCAAAACGACAAAUUGUCACAGAAUACAGAGAAAAGGGGAAAAGAAAUUAAGAGGAGAAAAAGAGAGAUCUAGAGGGCCGGUCCAGGAGAUACAAUCUAUGCAUAAUAGGAAUACCUGAAACUGAGGACAGAGCAAGUGGAGCUGAAACAAUAAAGGAUCUACUUGAAAAAAUUUUCCAGAAUUGAAGAACGAACUAGAUCUACAAAUGGAAAAGGCUCAUAGGAUACCUUUAAAGUUUAAUGAAAAGAAAGCAGCAUCUAGACAUAUCCGGGUGACGUUUUUGAAUUUCAAAGACGAAACAUUUUACAAGCAUCCAGUCAGAGAAAGCAGGUUACUUACAAAGGGGCAAAAGUCAGGCUGACCUCAGAUUUUUCUCCUGCAAUUCUAAAUGCCAGAAGACAGUGGAACAAUAUCUAGAGUGUUAAGGGAAAAUAAUUUUGAGCCAAGAAUUAUAUACUCUGCCAAGUUAUCAUUUCUUUACAAAGGAAACUGGAAGACAUUCUUAGAUAUACAGGGGUUAGGAAAGUAUAUCAACCAAGAACUUUCCCUGAAAAUUUUGCUGAAGGAUUUACUGCAGCUAACAGAGAACCUGAAUUAAAAUAAGAAUAGGGAGGCAAUUGUAUGAAAGAACUGAUGGUAUGCAUUAAAACUAGUUAAGGAGCAUUAAGUUUAAAUUGUUAUGUAUAGGGCAUUAAAACUAAAUACAAAAAUAGAAACAUAAGCUGGGUGUAAAAUUUCAGUUUACGUUUAAACUGGAAGGGCAUACCACAUGUUCAAUAUAUUGGACAAAUACUGUUUUAUUUUUAGCAUGUAGUAUUGUAGAUACAAAUACGCAUGUUCUUAAGCUAAACCUAAGUAAAAGGGCUUUGUCACUGUAGAUUUGACAAAUAACAUUCUAAAUGUCAAAUCUGACAAUUGGAAAACAGUACAGUUUUAUUUCCCUUAUUUUUAAGUAUAGCAGGAAAAAAAUAACAAGUUUGUCCAUGUUACUACUGAUACUGUAAAGAAACUUCCAAAUCACUGGUUUGGGAGGGGGUGGAUACAUCCUCAUUUUCUGUACAUGAUGCAUGGGGAAAAACAGUAGUUACUGCAUCAUAUAGUUCCAAGUAAAUCAUAUAGUUCCAAGUAAAUUUGACAUGGAAAUAAGUGUUAACUACAAAAAUAGAAUAUAUACAUUCCAAUGUUUGGAAAAGAAGUGGUAAAAAGAAAAAUAGCAAAAAGACACUAAAAUUAGCAAAAAGUAGAUUGACAGUACAGAUGACCUAUAAACUGGUUAAAUAGCCCUAUUACAAUUGAAAUUGGGUCAAAAAUCAAUCUCUAACCUGAGAUACAUUUGUAUAAAACAAAUGAUCAAAGAGUUUAAAGAUAAUGGAAACUAUAAAUCAUAGAAAUGGCAACAUUUUUCUUAAAAUCUAAACAUAAGACAUUUUAUGUAAAACAUACAAUAUAGGAUGUAACAUUUAACAAACUAUAUGGUAAAUAAUAUGACAUUAAUAUAUAAAAUAUAUGUUCCAGAUCUUGAUGUGGGUGAUAGUUUUACUUAUGUACAUCGAUAUACAUCUAUUUAAAAACAUGUACAUUUAAAUUGUUGCAUUUUAUGUAUUUAAAAUUUAUUGAGUAAUCCUUCUGUAUGUAUUAUUAAAGAGAAUAUAGCAAAAAAGGGCCACUACUGAUUAGGACACUUAUGGAGAACGUGGGUAGCACUGAAGCAGCAUUCUAGUUUCCAGUGCCAUCAACCUCAUACGUAUCUACCUGGUCUCUGAUCGAAGCUACCGUAAUGUGUUCUUGAGGUCAACAUGUUUUGUGGAAGUCACUGUAUUUGCCCCUUUAUGUCAAUUACCUAUUAUAAACCGAGAGAAAUGGGAAAAUUAAAAACCUGUUUUGAAUUAUUUUUAAUGCAGAACUAUUUUUUCAAGUGAAAUCUUAUACAGAAGUCUGGUAUAUGAAACAGAUAAAAAUGAACCAAUGAGAUUGAAGGGAAUGAGUAGCAUGUAAUCCUGCCCACUCUUCGGAGAAUUUGAGGCAACUUUGUAGAGCCUUAGGAGUUCAGUUUGUAUGUUACUGGGUAAUUUAAAGCAGAAAUUUUAAUCUGACUGCACUUAAGAAUCAUCUGAAGUGUUUGUAUUGGUUAGUCUUAUUUUUAAUACUGAUGUCCUGGUCUCUCUCCCCUCAAAAAAACUCUGCUGCUGGGACCAAGCACAUAGAUGCUUUUUAAAAAGCUCCCGAAAAUGACUCUAAUAUGCAGCCAGGAUUGAAAAUAACUACCCUACACAGCAUUUUUCCUGAUUCUGAGCACUCAGCUUUUCAUUGAUUUUCCCUAGGGCAAGUCCUUCAUCUUAUUCUGGGUCCUUGUGUUUUCUUUCUGAACCUACAAUUUCUCCAUAGGUCCCAUGGUUUUCAAAAUUUCUCAUUUUCCAUUUUCUGUCCUUUUAUAUUACCUACUUGAAAACCACAGUCAUCUUUCAAAACAAAACACUGCCUGUUUCUUAGGUCUUUAUUGUGGGCUUGUUAUUCCUCAAUACAAAUUUACAUAAAAUAAUAACAAUUAAGACAUGGGCCUUGGUGUCAGAAUUAUUUUAUAUCUUUCUUAUUAACUCUGCAGCUUACCAGCUCUGGAUAAGUUAAAGGACAGCUAUAGUCUUACUACAUAGAAUCAUUAUAAGGAAUUGGUGGAGUGAUCCUUAUAAAGUGUUUGCAUGGUACCUAGCACAGAGAAAGUGCUUGAAGUUGUUAACUGUUAUGGUUACAAAAUAUGUAAAUAAUUUUUAUUGUCCAAUUUUCUCUCUUCAUAUACACUAAAUUGUUCUAAUUCUUGAACCACAGUAACAACGUGUGAAUGACUUAUGCAUUCAGUGUGUCCACUCAACUACUAUUUAUUAAGUACCUGUUAUGGUCUAUGAAAGGAACUGGCAAGACAGUCAUUAUUCCCCUUAAAUAUUCCCAAGUGUUAGUGGUCAAAGUUUCUCUCUGCUGAAAAUGAAAAGUACCCCGUAGGAUGGAGGAAACAGCCAUCUUGAGGGCUAAAUCUGGUCUAACAUAAUAUUUGUUGACCUGUUACUACAGUGUUGCCACAUAUGCUUUGUUGGUUUUUUAAUUUAGCCCCCAAACAUUUUAAAAAUCAGAUCAUUUCAUGUUAAAAGAAAUCUAGACUUCUAGUUCUCUUGCAAAUGUGAGCUCUGACAAACAUUGAAAUUAUAGAGUAGCAGGGGUAGUGUGCCCUUUAUUUGGUGCAUGUCUUCUGCAGGUUCCCAAGUUCUGCUGUUCUCUGUUGUUGCCUCAUCACUGAGGCCAAAUGUCAGUUGCUGCUUACAUGCAUUUGAACAGUUGUUAUUUUUUAUAGUGAAAUUAAAGGUAAACUGUUUUGAUAUCCAUGUUUCUACCAAAGGUAAGAAAACACAAGCCAAAAAGACACAGAUUUCAAAAAAAAUAAGAGAAAGCAUAAUUCUUUAUGGAAGUGAAGAAUAGUCUUUUUAUCUAAGUAUGCCAAAAAAAGCAUGUAUAAAAAAAUACAAUUUAAGAUGCCAUUAUGAAAAAACUCCAAGUCAGUGUUUACUAACAUCUUUUCAGUUUUAGGAAGGAGGCAGGUUGUCUUGCAUCUCAUUGGAUCUCCGGUACUACCUAUUUCUUGAAAUACCAUAAGUGCUAAUAUAUACUUGCAAUAGAUAAACAUGAGGAGUAUUACAAAUACAAGAGAUAGCAGGAACUAUUUUAAUAUUAAGAGAUAUCAAAUAUGCACGCUAGGAUUAAUAAAUGAAAUAAUUAUUUUCCUUCUUCUACAAUAUUUACUUAAUCUGGAGGCAGAAAUACAUGUUGUCUCUCUUCCUGCUUCUCCAUCAAAAUCCCGACCAAGUAAUCAGGAUCUUUGAGAAUCACAAUAAGAAUUACAGCCUCAUGUUUGGAUUUUUUAAAUUUAAAUUUUAAAUUACUCCUUUCCACUGAUAUUUAUUGAGAAACUGCUAUGCUCCAGGUACUGCGAUAAACACUGGGCAAAUGUUGGAGAGCUAAAAAGGCAUAUUCCUCUUAUAAAGACAUUAUUUACUUGUAACAAACAAGUAAAUAAAUGUAUUAGUCAAUAUGUAAGUAAACAAAAAAAUGGACAAGCACAAAUUAUAUUAAGUACUAUGUAGGAAACCAAUAGAGUACUGUAACAGAAUAAUAAGGUAUAUGGGAUGGGGGUGGGAAUCUGUUCAGAGAUGAUCUACCUGAGAAGGUAACAUGUAGGCAGAGAUCUGAAUCGUGAGGAGUCAGCCUUUCAGAGUAAGUGGAGUAGGCACUUCCAAGAGAAAAGCAUAUUCCUGGCUAUUUGCCUAUCAAUGUCAUCUUGAACAAGGGUUAGCAAUCUCCUACCUGUACCACAGAUGCUAUGUGCCACCUCCAUGCUACCUUUGCCACCAAGAGAUUCAAUGUGAUGCAUGAUUUGAAGGUUCCUCAUCCUGAUACCCUGUGGAAAGUAAAAUCAGUGACAAAUAAAAGCAGAUCAUUAUCUCAGGUAGAGUCUGCUAAAGAUGAUACUUGCUUGUCAGUACAUGAGUAUCCACCCUAGUAAAAAACCACAGAAGAAGUGGGAUUUAUCUUCAAUGUUCUCUCACUUCCCCUUCCAAGUGCCUCUCCUGCCUUCUGAUGCUCUUUCCCACAAGUUGCAGGCAAAUAAAGCAUGUAUAUUACUCUCUUUUUAUCCAGAGUUGCUCCUUGUCCUUAUAUGAAGUAGAUUCCAGACCUCACAAUUGUAUAUGCCUACCCUUCUACUCCAACCCCUCAAAAAAAGAGGAAGAAUGAAAGAAUGAACAAGAGAAAAGGAAGGAAGAGAGGGAGAGAGGAAAGGAGGGAAGGAUGGUCCUGAAGAUCACAGUUCGGUGCUGAAAAAAGCAUUUCUAUUAAACUUCAAGACAGAAUGAAUGACCAUAGCUAAUAAUGUACCUUAAGCUUUUCUAGAAUCUUUGUAUUAAAAAAGUUGAUUGUUACUAAAUGUAUUUUAAUCUCAUAAAAUUUUAGGAAUUUAAAUGAAGAAUUUCACAAAGGGUAAGAAAAAUUAUAUAUUAUAUUUAUAAAUUUGUCAUUAUGAUUCUCCCAUUGUGGAAAAAAAAACAAAAUCUCGGUACCCCAAUUCACAAAGCCAAAAGGAAGAAAGUAAGCUGAACGCUGAGUCAUGCAAGAAACUGCUCGCUUUUGUUCCUAAGCUAAUAGCUACAGAUAAAAGGUCAGAUAUCUCCAUAGGUAGGUACUCUAUGUUCACCUUAUGUAAAGUGCCAAUUUAUUGAGCGUAAGAGGAUUACCUAAUUGACUAUUCCCCAGCCUGCUCCUUUUCUCUUGCAACACAUGGAGUCAGCAAUGGGACCAUAUCCUCUCUCUUUCCCCUCCAGCCUGCUUUCCCCCUUUAAAUACUGAAGCCCUCAAAAUCAUCUUUCUAAAAAGGUAUGAACCAUAGAUUGUUCCUGUGGAUUUGUGUUUCUUUCUUCCGGGCAUAUCCUUAAGCUUGGCAAAAUAAAAUUCUAAAUUGA
rnacentral:lncRNA from 10 species